AGCUUUUUGUUUUUUAAUAAAAAGUUUGUUCUGCUCGGUGUUGAUAAACAGCCGCGGUAAUUUGACCGUGCAAAGGUAGCAUAAUCAUUUGCCUUAUAAUUGGGGGCUGGAAUGAAUGAAUAAACAAAAGUUUUUCUUUAUUUUUAUAGGUUAAAUAAUUUUCUUUUUUGGUGAAGAAGCCGGAAUGAAAAAAAGGGACAAGAAGACCCUUUUGAGCUUUAUUUAUUGUGUCUUUUUUAGAAUUUAAGUAAAUUUGGUUGGGGCGACCUAGGAAUUGGAUCUUCCUUUAUAUAUAAUGAUCCGCAGAUAGCGAUAAAAAGAAUAAGUUACCAAAGGGAUAACAGCGUAAUUUUUCUUUAGAGUUCUUAUUAAAAGAAAAGAUUGCGACCUCGAUGUUGACUUAUAAUUUCCUUUUGGUGUAGCCGCUGUUAGGGU
rnacentral:rRNA from 1 species